AUUGAACGCUGGCGGCAGGCCUAACACAUGCAAGUCGAACGAGUGGCGGACGGGUGAGUAAUGUCUGGGAAACUGCCUGAUGGAGGGGGAUAACUACUGGAAAAGGUAGCUAAUAACGCAUACCAUCAGAUGUGCCCAGAUGGGAUUAGCUAGUAGGUGGGGUAACGGCUCACCUAGGCGACGAUCCCUAGCUGGUCUGAGAGGAUGACCAGCCACACUGGAACUAAGAUACGGUCCAGAGUCCUACGGGAGGCAGCAGUGGGGAAUAUUGCACAAUGGGCGCAAGCCUGAUGUACCCAUGCGGCGUGUAUGAAGAAGGCCUUCGGGUUGUAAAGUACUUUAAGCGGGGAGGCGUUACCCGCAGAAUAAGCACCGGCUAACUCCGUGCCAGCAGCCGCGGUAAUAC
rnacentral:rRNA from 1 species